rnacentral:snRNA from 1 species
AUGCCUACCUGGUGCUGGGGCUUCGUUCAUCACCGACGACGAGCACCCAGGGUAAGGCGCGGGCAUUGCACUGCGCUCGCAUUCACCAAUGCCAGUACCCCUCACUAGGGCUGAGGGGGCAUGCAAAUUGCGUAAAUUCCGUUCUACGCAAG